rnacentral:rRNA from 1 species
UUUCUUGUGUGACCGCGUACUUUUUGUAGAACGGGCCAACGAGUUACGUUAAGUAGCAAGGUUAAGCACUUAAGGUGCGGAGCCGUAGCGAAAGCGAGUUUUAACUGAGCGUUCAGUUACUUGACGUAGACCCGAAACCGGGCGACCUACCCAUGAGCAGGAUGAAGCGAAAGUAAAAUUUCGUGGAGGUCCGAACCCACGAGCGUUGAAAAGCUCGGGGAUGACUUGUGGGUAGCGGUGAAAUUCCAAUCGAGCCCGGAGAUAGCUGGUUCUCCCCGAAAUAGCUUUAGGGCUAGCCUCAAGGUGAGAGAUACGGAGGUAGAGCACUGAAUGUCCUAGGGGGUAUUGCACCUACCGAAGACUAUCAAACUCCGAAUGCCGUCAUCUUAUACUUGGGAGUCAGACUGUGGGUGAUAAGAUUCAUAGUCGAAAGGGCAACAGCCCAGAUCGUCAGCUAAGGUCCCUAAAUGUAAGUUAAGUGGUAAAGGAUGUGGGAUUGCACAGACAACCAGGAUGUUGGCUUAGAAGCAGCCACUCAUUCAAAGAGUGCGUAAUAGCUCACUGGUCGAGUGAUCCUGCGCCGAAGAUUUCCGGGGCUAAAACUUACUACCGAAGCUACGGCAUCAGUAAUGAUGGGUAGGGGAGCUUCCCAUACGGGUUGAAGCAUGACCGUAAGGACAUGUGGACAGUAUGGGAGUGAGAAUGUUGGCAUGAGUAGCGAGAUGUGGGUGAGAAUCCCACAGGCCGUAAACCCAAGGUUUCCAGGGGAAGGUUCGUCCGCCCUGGGUUAGUCGGGACCUAAGCUGAGGCCGAAAGGCGUAGGUGAUGGACAACAGGUUGAUAUUCCUGUACUACCGAUAACCGUUUGAGAGA